AUGGAGCGGGACACUCGAGAAUAUGAUCUGAAGAUAAUAAAGAGAAUAAACAACACACAAGAUGAUCCAAUUUGUAGAGUAAAAUAUGGCAGGAUAAAGGAAUUUGAUCUUUAUAAUAACAGACCUGAAGUGUCAGUCAUUAAUGGGACUGUGAUAAUAAACCGUGUGAUCAGAGCAGAUUCUGGGAAUUACAGAUUAUUACUCUUUCACUCAGACGGCACAGAAACAUCUAGAGAUCUUCAAGUGAUUGUUGAAGCUCCUAUUGGCUCAGUGGAAGUGUCAAUCAUCUGCUCCUCCAGUGGGGUGAUGAGGGUGUUCUGCUCCUCUGAGGGGGAUCAGCUCCUCUACAACUGGACUCUGAAUGGAGAUCCACUGAUGAAUGGAAACAGCAGCAUUGAUCUGGAUGAGGGAACUGAUGGAGACAUCAGCUGCAGCGUGAAGAAUCACGUCAGUCACACACAGAAGACCAUUAGACUAGUCUGUGCUACUGGUCUGGAUUGGUUCUGCAGGUUUAAUCAAUCAGAUCCCUGUUACGCAGCUCUUGGAGACAAACUCAAUCUGCAAGUGGUGCGGGACGCUCGAGAUCAAGACCUGUAUUUUUAUAAGGAGUUUAAUGAUGGCACUGGAAUGGAAGUUUUUAGAGUAAAGAACAAUAAAGAGAAAAAACAUGAAUCCAUCAGAAACAGAUCUGAGUUCAUCUUUCAUAAUGGGACUCUGAUAAUAAACAACGUGAUUGAAGCAGAUUUAGGGACUUACAGAUUAGAACUCUAUGACUCAGACGGCCUAAGAACAUUUGAAAAACAUCUUCACAUUAACAUUGAAGGUACAGUAACUCACUUAUUCCAGUCUCAUGUUCUCCAAAGAUCUCACUCUCAUGCAGAUCAAUCAGUUGAAUCUCUGGGAAGGUUUUUAUUCCUGUAGCACACAGUAAACACACUACAGAUUCCAGUAAUAGUAUGAGUAGUGUGGAAGAACAAGAUUCUCCUGUGUUUGUCAUUUGACAUGUAUUGCUAAUCCACAGAUAUCAACAACGUUGAUUGAUUGAUUGAUUGAUUGAUGUAUUGAUUGAUUGAUGUGUUUGUGUUGUUCAGUGUGUUCAGUGUCUGUGGUGUUUGUUCUGGUCUGGUGUUUCCAGCUGAUGGUUCUGUUCGGUCUGUUAGGAGGUUUUCACAUCUACAUGAGACACACGACAGGUGAGAGACAUUUAUCAUCAUUAUUAUGGAUUUGACAUGCAAAUAUUAAGAGUGUGAAGAUGAUGAUGAUAAUGAUGUGAUGCUUUUAGGAAAGACACAGGAAGAUCAGAAAGUGAGAAUGAGAAGAUUUAGAGAGAGACAUGAACACACAGCAGAAGAUUCAUGAGAGCAGCAGCAGAUCUUCACAUCUGUGAGAAAUGACUUCAGAAUCUCAGUGAUUCUCACAUCAGUCCAUCUUUCACCUGCUGAAUAAAACCAGGAGACAGAAGAAGCUUUCA
ensembl:lncRNA